CCCCCCCGCCUAGUUCAAAACCAGACGAGAGCAGUGUUUAGGCAUGUAAGUGAUUUGUGUUUGUCUGCUUUUUCCCUAUAAAUCUCAAAUCUUCCUGUGUUAAUCUUUCAAAAUAAUUUUUUAGAACCUUUAUUAAUGGUUCACAUAAUGACCUUUAAUAAGGCCUGAUGGUCUGGCUAUUAAAUAGUUUCAAUUCCAUAUUCAAUAUACGAUGACCAGAGUUAUCAGGCAGUGAGUAGGUUUCUUUAUAAUCGAAUUGUUCUAAAAAAUAAUAUAUCUUUUCACCAAUAUUGCUGUAGAUAUUGAAUUUGUGUCCUCCUCCUAGCCAUUUAAUUGGCCCAUUCAGUCUGGGUCAACUCCUGGCAAUCUGAUUGGUCCAAGAUUAAUCAUAUGAUCACAGUCCCAUUACUUCUCUAAUUCAAUUGGUCUGGAAGAACUAUGCAAGAGUAGGGAUCCACUGGAAUUUCUUUCUUCCAGUAAUGUCAGCUGUUCUUGCACCUCCUCUUUUCACACCCCUGCCCCUGACUCAAUGUCAAAGGACUUCUGAAAUAUUUGUCUGCUUCAAAAUGCAAAGGAGAAGAAAUUCAGUCCACCUGGCUCUUCAGUCUGUCUCCAGUCAUUAAGAAGCCCUUUCCUGGAUUUUCGCUCCCCUUGCUAUUGCAGGUCCAAGACAAGCACUUGUGUUUGUCCCUCCAGAGCAGUGAAGUAGAAUGAAGCAGGGAUUGGAUAUAGCUAGAGUUGGAGCAAAGGGCUCAGCACCCAAGGUUGACCCAUCUAAAUGAGGAGAGCUAACUGGAGGUCAUGAGUUGAUCACAACAUCUAACCUUUUUUAAAAAAAAUCUCUACUGGUGUCAUCAAACAGCUUAAGAAGCCUUCGAGCAUGUGAGUCAAUUCAAGAUACAAUGCAUUAAAAAAAGCACAUAUUACAUCCAAUAUUUUCGAUGUGACAGUAGUGAGGUAGGGGAGGACCACAGGCAAGAAAAAUUGGGAUCAUUACUCACAGGCUAAGGGCAGCUAUGUGACUACACUUGCUCCCACUUCUAAUGUUCUUUAAUAAUAAUAUUCUAAUGUUCUUUAAUGGACUCGCUUCUCUUAUUAGGUACUUGCAUGGAUUUAUUCAUGCAGCUACAGUACAAGUAAGCCUAAGUCUCUUUAUUUACCUUUCUACUUGAUUCAUUGUUUAAUGUUAUUAGUGAGUAACAAAACCAGAAGUCCAACAGUAAAGCAUAAAAUAUAAAUUCCAAUUUAACUACCAGUAUUCUGGCUUCCUCAUGCUGAUGGACAGAAACAAUGCCAGGAAGCACAAAUUCAUGCAGUAUGUAAAACGGAUAAGUGAAAAAAACAAUCUUUGAGAAAUCUUGGCAAAGGCCCUGAAAGUUAUUCCUAAUCUGUUUAUAGUGUGCCCAAUAUCAACAGCACUUUAUCUACAAUGACACAGAUUCAUUUUGCAAAAUACGCAUCAGGGACUUGGAGCAGCAACAUGAAAUAAGUAGAAAUUCCACUUUCAUAUCUGAAGAUCCAGCUAUAGGCGGAAGUGGUUUAGUAAAUAUACAAACAGCGGGUCCAUUAUAUUGCACUGUCAGGGUUUAUGUAGGUGGGGAAAAAAGCACAGUGGGGCGGGGGAGACGGAUAAGAGAACAACCCACAAUUCAGAGCGGGAGGGGAGUCAGCCAGGCAAGUCUGAGGAUAGGAAGGUUGAGUUGGGAAAAUCUUUAGAAUCCAUUGAUGGGAAAAUUAAGAAAGAAUUGAAGGAGUUGCGGAGGGGGAUGGGGUAACAGCAGCCGUCUUCAUGAGGAAAUAAUCAAGGAAUUGGAAGGAAGAGCAGGACUUGGGGGGUGGGGAGGGCAUCUGGGAGUGGGGCAGAACAAAUCAGUGCUUGGAGUUCAGGAAGGGUGGGUGGAGGAGAAAGAAACACAAGGCUAAUGUGGGAAGGAAGAGAAACAGCAUGUCAGGAAUUAUGGUAGAAAUGAACCAUGAAGGGCUGGAACAUCGUACCAUAUCAUUAUGGUCCAAUUUAACCCUUGGGAAGGGUGCCAAUACUGAUGUGAGCCAUUGUCUGGAAAAGGGAGAGAACAACUCUGCGAUAUAUUUCCUUCCAGUAAGCUACUUCAGUGAAAACAUUAAUCUCACUAUCCAUUUGUAUUAGCUCUGUUUCACAUUGAAUGCACUUACAGUAAAUAAAGAACCUAAGACAUACCAAGAGUAGCAUUUAGUUUGGAACAUUUGAAGAUGCAGCAUUAAGGACUUGUGCUGUGAUCAGUAUCGCAAUCUCUGCCUUCUGUGUAUAACUGAAAAGCUGCCAGCUGGAAAGAAUGGAUACAGUGCAUUAGUUUCAGCCACAAGCAUAAGAGAAAGAUUACAAUUUAGAUUAGGAGGAACUAUAGAUACAAACACAAUGUUAUAAAUCACCAAAUCUUUGCUAGUGAUAAUAUUCUAUGCAUGCAGAAACAACUGAGGAGCUGCAGAGUUUGUGAUUUGUGAUACUGGCUAUUUAUCUGUAUCCCUGGGCUAGCGAGAGGGAACAUCAAUCAGUGUUCUUGCUCUGAAUCAAUAUCCACUAUCAUGUUAGGAAGUGCAUGUAUGUGGACACUGGGUGGGGACCCAGUCAGGCUCAGCUGCGAUGUGCUUCAUAAUCGAGUAGCUUGCUGACACUUAUUCCCUAAUAUCACAAGAAUGACCACUGGGAAAGAUAGAUAAGGACUGUCAGCAACUGUGAAAGUGGACCGCAGCGUGAAUCUACUCUUUCAAAGGAACGGGGAAUAAAAGGUUCAUACAACAGGAGAAACCAUAAAUGUAAUAAUUUUGACUUAAAUCUUGUCUAACAUUUUGUGUUGGGAUUUUACACUUCCAUUCCUUUAACAAGCUUUCAUGUUACUAUCUCUGUGCUUGUUCAGUUUUCUUAUCCAGCACUGCAUUGUGUGACAGGAAAGUUACCUUUUUUACAAACUAUGAUGAUUUAUCAAGAAUGGAAUGGUAUCUUCUGUUCAGAAGAAACUGUUGUACUGAACAAAAUAAAUUAUUUUACUGAC